CGGGAAGGUUCUUUCUCUCCCGAGCGAAGAGAUCACUUGUUCACUAGGUGAUACCCAGAUUGUGGGACCAGCGCUCCUGCGUCCCGAAGUCUGCGGUGGAGAGGAUGAAGCAAGCAGCAGUGCUAGAGACUUCCCCCGAUGGCCACAGAGUCAGUUAUCCUUCAGGGAGUGGAUCUCAAACUAGCGGAUGCACAGAAUCACCUGGAGGACUUGUUGGAACUCCGAUUGCUGGACCCACCCCCAGAGUGUCCCAUUCAGUAGGACGGGGGUGGGACCUGAGAAUGUGCAUUUCUCACAAGUUUCUGGGCGGUGCUAUUGCUGAUGUGAAGAGGCCGCUUUUUGGUCUCAGGCCGAAUGUGAUAGUUCACGCCUGUAAUCCCAGCACUUUGGAGGUGGAGAUUUUAAUACCAAGACUGACAAAGAUUGUAGAUGUGCGCAUCAGAAAUGGCCUCGGCUUGAUGUACAGUAUUACAAAAGGCUAUGUCAAAAGUCAAGAAGAUGCCAAACUUUUAGUAAAACAUAUUUCUGGCCGUGAAUCAAUAUAUCAGAAACUGUGAAAUUUUGGAAACCAACGAGCGAGAUGCUGUCAAAGAACUAGGAUGCUUAGAGCGUGAGGUUCGUGAUGUUGUCAUUGCUUUGAAGACUAAGCAGGCCAUCCGGACUGUGAUUACCAAAGCUCUGGAAAACCUCACCUUCCUUUCGUCAAGAGGGCUUAUUGAUGAAGAUGGGUGCACUGAAAUGAAUAAGGUACUUCUUACAAAAUUAAAAGCACUGAAUAACUUUCCAAAGGCAAUCCCACCCUCCACUCCUGAUAAAUGCCUCCAUAACUUCAUUUGGCUGGAAAAUAAAGAUGUUUUCAUUGACUUCUUU